rnacentral:lncRNA from 1 species
AAGCAUAAUAAGAGGCGUGUUCCACCACUGUGGACGGGGUCCCUGGGCUUUCCCCUAGGGUCCCAUCAGCUGCUUAUGUUCUACCUUCUGACGGAUCACAGGAGGAGCCUGCAGCGGAGGAGCCUCCUCCUCCUCAGCAUCAGACCUAAAGGGAGUGUCCUGCCUGAAGGACCGGCUCAAGGUCGCACUAACAGCUCUUGCUAACUCCUGUUCCAGGCUGUUUAUCUGGGCCUCCAAGUACCCUGCUUGCGCCUGGAGGUCUCUCACCCCCAGGUCCUGCUCAAAGCUGUGCACUUGGGCCCCCAGGCAUGCGGCUUGCUCCGGAAGGUCCCUUACCUGUGGCACUGAGCAUGUACUUCCUGCAGUGCAGUUAGAAAUGCCCAUCCGACUCUGCUUGCAAAGACAUCUGCAAUGGCAGUUCACAUGGCUCAGAUAGCUCACUUCUGCAGAGAGCUGAAUUUAAGUGGGACAGGGUAGCAAGAAUAAUUACUUUGACAAUCAUUUUGCCACCUGAUGACUGUGCUGCCUGUCCUGAGCUGAGGCACAGCUGCUUAAAGACUGUUACCGGAAAGGAAUCCUGAUCCAGACGCCAAGAGAGGGUUCUUGGACUCAUGCAAGAAAGACUUCAGACAAGUACAGACAAUCACCAGGAACUAAGGAACAAGAAGCAUCCAACCCUGCAUCUGUGGGUUUCCUGAGGUGACUCUCAAUUGUCAUAGGGGUGAAGAGUGAGUGAGGAAACCCUUGGAGCACUUGUUUGCUUCACAGACAUCCUGACCUCCUUUCAACUGUAAAGACUUAGUCAGAGGACGGCGGCUCCCUCAGCCUCAUUCUGCAGUUCCAAUGACACUUUUUACAAAGGCUCUGUACUUGUCUGAUUCUUAAAUAUUCCAGUUUUUGAACUUU